UUGAACGCUGGCGGCAUGCCUUACACAUGCCAGUCGAACGGUAACAGGUCUUCGGAUGCUGACGAGUGGCGAACGGGUGAGUAAUACAUCGGAACGUGCCCGAUCGUGGGGGAUAACGGAGCGAAAGCUUUGCUAAUACCGCAUACGAUCUACGGAUGAAAGCAGGGGACCGCAAGGCCUUGCGCGGACGGAGCGGCCGAUGGCAGAUUAGGUAGUUGGUGGGAUAAAGGCUUACCAAGCCGACGAUCUGUAGCUGGUCUGAGAGGACGACCAGCCACACUGGGACUGAGACACGGCCCAGACUCCUACGGGAGGCAGCAGUGGGGAAUUUUGGACAAUGGGCGAAAGCCUGAUCCAGCCAUGCCGCGUGCAGGAUGAAGGCCUUCGGGUUGUAAACUGCUUUUGUACGGAACGAAAAGACUCUUUCUAAUAAAGAGGGUCCAUGACGGUACCGUAAGAAUAAGCACCGGCUAACUACGUG
rnacentral:rRNA from 1 species